rnacentral:lncRNA from 1 species
CCGGCAGGCGUCCGAAUCACCACUUCGUCCAGGGCCUACGCACCAAAUCACAAUCACCUCACCGACUCACCGCGUCGUCUCGUCUACACAGGUCUCGGACGGCUAAGCUACCGGCCCCCGCCCGGUCGCCUCCCGGUUUGGCGCUUCCCGCGCCCGUACCCCGUAGGCCGUAGCGAGGCGAAGCCGGCCAGCCAAGCCAAGCCAACCCCGUCCCGCACUCAAGCACGCGCGCGCCGCCUCUUAUACCGCCUUCCCGCCUCCUACCCAGUAUAUCCCCCCGUGAGGGCCCUUGAUACGGCCGAGACCGACCGGGCCCCGAUCGUUCGACCCGGAGCAUAUGCGGCGAGACGCGGGCGGCCGUCGCCUCGCCGCCGAUCUCGGUGGAGGCGGUGGUCAUCGACGUCGAGGGGGAGCCGGCGGUCCCCGCCGGCGCUGCGUGCCGGAUCUGCCACCUCGUCCCGGAGGGCGGCGUCGGGCCCGGGUCGGAGGUGAUCCGGAUCGGGUGCGGCUGCAAGGACGAGCUCGGCGCCGCGCACCGCCACUGCGCCGAGGCCUGGUUCAGGAUCAAGGGCGAUAGGUUAGAGUCGACCUGA